AGUGCUCUGAGAUCCACUAGGAUGAAGAACACUAUAUAAUGAUCAGAUUCUGAUACCCUUACUUAUGUUGUACCUUACUCCUGCGAGUAGUCAACAGAUGUUAAUGGUACUAUCUGUGGAGUGUAGUGCUACUCAAGGAAAGGAUACACUUGCAUAGGACGAAGAGCCAGGAAGAGAUGUGUGCAUGUGUGGAACAAGGAGGAUUUGGGAAAGAAGGAGAGGCUGAUUCAAGUAAUGAAGAUGAUGAAACUGGCACAGGGAGGUGAAGUGGCUUACUCAAGGACACACAGUGGACCAGUAGCAGAGCCAGGAAAAGAAACUAGGUCUCCUGAAUCCCAGUCCAGUAUUCCAAUUCACUAGACCACACUACCUCACAUGUAGAGAAGUAUAUUGAAAAUUUAGUACACUAUAAAGGUUAAUUUUUGAAAAAAACAUGAAAUUAAUAGAUUAUUAAUUUUCAUAUUUGAUUCAGUCUUUUUUUAAAAUUCUGAACUGGAAUGCUGCAGAAACCAGAGGACCUUGCCAGUUUUAUGUCAAUCUUAUCAUAGACACAGUGAUCUCGUAUACUGUGCUCACAAAGUAAGCUCUAGGACCUUCAGAUCUCAAGCAAUCUACAAGGGCAGUGAAGGAGCUAAAGUCCCAUUCUUGUGCAUCUUAGAAGCUCCAGGAGGGCAACUUCAUGCACCUCAGUGACAGUGAGAGCGUCAUCCGCAUUUCAAGGUCACACCGCUGUCUGCCAAAAUGUGUGAUGCAAGAGAAAAAUGAAACUUGCACUAUUACUGGGUAGUUACUUCCAACAACCACAUGAAAAAGGUAAAAAGAGAUCAUAAUUAAAAUUAAUGAUACCAAAAUUCUUCACAAUUUUAUCAGAUUCUUUUUGUUUAGCCAGAAGAC